rnacentral:rRNA from 1 species
CCUACGGGGGGCAGCAGUGGGGAAUAUUGCACAAUGGGGGAAACCCUGAUGCAGCGACGCCGCGUGAGUGAAGAAGUAUUUCAGUAUGUAAAGCUCUAUCAGCAGGGAAGAAAAUGACGGUACCUGAUUAAGAAGCCCCGGCUAACUACGUGCCAGCAUCCGCGGUACUACGUAGGGGGCAAGCGUUAUCCGGAUUUACUGGGUGUAAAGGGAGCGGAGACGGCAACACAAGUAUGGAGUGAAAUGCCGGGGCUUAACCCCGGAACUGCUUUGGAAACUGUGCAGCUAGAGUGCAGGAGAGGUAAGUGGAAUUCCUAGUGUAGCGGUGAAAUGCGUAGAUAUUAGGAGGAACACCAGUGGCGAAGGCGGCUUACUGGACUGUAACUGACGUUGAGGCUCGAAAGCGUGGGGAGCAAACAGGAUUAGAUACCCGGGUAGUC